ensembl:lncRNA
UGAGUUUCCUGUUUGUUUUUUUUACUCACUGACUCACCUACUAAUUUAUUUAGCUCCUGCAAAUAACCUACUCUGGAGAACCAUAAAGGUUUAAUGUUAGUCUUCUAAUAUUCCUAAGAUUGCAUAAAGAGGGAGGAUACACUAAUACAAAUGUCGAAACCAACAUUAGAAAAAUAAAUGAGUAAGAGCUACAGGUAUAGUAACAACAAUGGCAAAGUAUUAGUAAUGGUUACAACAAUAAGCAGUUCUUUAGCAGUUGUACAAGGAAGUGAAACAUUUCCUGGAAAAUGAAACAUAAAGGUGAGUGUCAUGGGUGUGGUGCACAUACUGAACUAUCUGUCUGACUGCUCAAACACGGUGAUCGUCGCUCUAGAAGGUUUUCUCGAAUUUGUUGAACCAUGGAAACCGGAACGAUCAGCGAAUCGGUAAAUGUCUUUAUUUUUCCUUUUUUUCUUUAAAAAAAAAGUACAUUGACUGAGUUAAAGCAAAUGAAAUUACUGCACUUAUAUAUGUAAAACCUACUAAUUUGGAAUUUCUUUUUUUUUUUUUUUUUUUUUAAAUAUAAGAACACACAAAAGAAAGCUUUCACAAAGAGGAAAUGCAGUAAAAGUUACUUUCAACAAGAAUCAAAAAGAUUGAAGACUUAAGAUCAGCCGGUUUAUUAUUAAUCAAUUGCUUACUGGUAAAGGUAAUAAAAACAAAAAACUGGACAAUCUCUUUGUCCACAUUGAUGAGAUGCUUCAUAGCAUUUUCUUCCUCGGGUACAUUUAUAACCCCAAGUUGACUCCCAGUGAGUUCUUCAGAAAAUCUACAAUAGAUAAAUUGAAGGAAUUGUUUCCUGAGUCAUCACAAAAUCUUACACUUGAAUUGAAGGAUGAAUUGAUGGAAUUGUUUCCUGAGCCAUUUGAGAAGUACAAAAGUCAUCUGCCAACUCGCACACCCUUUUCCAUUCUGCUAAACAUGAUGGAGAUACUUUAUGGCACUGAAGACAAAAUAAAAGAAAAUCUUCAGCUUCUGCUUAAAGAACUCAAAUUCCCAUACCCCCUUCACAAGUCAGGCGAUGAAUAUCAGCAUUAUUACACACUGGAGGCGACAGUAAUCUGUGUGUGUUAUUCAGAAACUCAUUUACAAAAGAAGUACUACGGGGCAUCUCUUUCCUGCAGAUUACGAAAGGCAAAGAGAAUUUUGAUCGACCUGUCUUGUCUUAAAACAUGGCAUGAGUUUGUAUCUCAUGCAGUCAUGUCAUUUACUUCAGGAGAUCGGUACAAUGGCAUAACAUUCCCUGAGUCAGUGAAAUGUCAGGCGUACAUUAGAGACUGGAAUGAAAAUGUUUAUAGAAAAAGACGUCCAUGUUUAAAUUGUGCACAACUGUUUAAUCUACAAGAUGCAGACUUAGGUAGCGUGAAUCAUCCCUAUGGGAACUGUGCUGAGACAGAGUGCUUGAGCAAACUACUUUGCGAUAAUAAAGACAUACGAGAGAACACACGGAUGGAAAAUCAUACAGAGGAAAACUUGGAGAAUCUCAGAGAUUCAACAAAAGCACGCGUGCUAAAUGAUCUUGCUGAGGUUGGCAUUCAAAUGAAUAAUGAGAAUUUUCUCUUCUACAGCCCAAUGCCAAUGCCACCUUUCUAAGUAUACUAGUAGUUAUAUCAUACACUUUCUGUCAAACUGUCAAUCAAAGUGUUGUGUGUGAUAAUUUAUGACCCUCUGUGCUUCCCUGACUGACAGGUCUGUAGGGGUGGUGAGGGGGGUAACCCUAUGUAGUUUAUCAGAUGAUCAAUCUGGCUCCUUUGUGUCUGGGGGUGUUGUGGAGAGGUGUGUGUUGGGGGGGGGGGGAUAGUCCCCCUCCCAACGAAAGGUGUUUAUGUUAAUGAGUUUGGUUUUUGGUGGGGUAAAACACGUAUGAAAAUAAAUGAUGUUUUAAUAUGGGGAUGUGUUUGUGUUACUUUGUGGCGUUAUUUCGUUUGUGUAAACACAUUGUUAGAAAAGCAUGAUGUUUGAAUGUGUACAUAUAUGAGUAGAAUAUUUGUUUUGUGAAAUAAAUGAAAACAAUUGUUGAUUAUGUUUUUUAGGGAUCCCGUUUUACCUUUGAAUAAAAAGUUUAGAGUUAAAGCGUCUUUUUUUUUUUUUUUAAAGAAUCUGUUUAAAAUAAUCGUUUGUAUUACAUACAUUCUAAACACAAACCUUUAGGAUGUAAAAAUGAUCAAAAGAGCUGUUUAAAAAGAAUCCCGCAUAUUACACGACUUCUAAACAAAGAUCCUUACGAGGUAAAAAUGUUAAAGUGCUGGUUAAAAGAUGUUUAAACUAGGAGAUUUUUUCCAGAGUUGUCUUCCAGUCGCUGUGUUAAGCAGUAAUGAAGUUAAACUGAGACACCUCACUCUCGCUAAACCCCGCCCACACAUACGUGUUUUCAGACACGCCCCUCUCUCUCUCUCUCUCUCUCUCUCUCUCUCUCU